rnacentral:RNase_P_RNA from 1 species
UAAAUUUCGGGUAAUCGCGGGUACCAAGAGGUAUCUGAGGAAAGUCCAUGCUCGCACAAGCUGAGAGGCUUGUAGUGAUCGUGCUUAGCAAAACCAUAAGCUAAGGCUCAGACGGCGGACAAAAAAGCUAAGGACUUAGUCUAGGCUUGAGUCAUCCUGAAAAGUGCCACAGUGACGAAGUUGAAUGGGAAACCAUUCAAGUGGAACGCGGUAAACCCCUCGAGCGAGCAACCCAAACAUUGGUAGGGGCACUUGACGAAUCGGAAAUGAACGAAUUCGUCGGGGCAGUAAUGCAGAUAGAUGAUUACCGAUCAAGUAGCUUCCUGACCUACUUGUGAACAGAACAUGGCUUAUAGAAAUU